rnacentral:rRNA from 1 species
GAUCAACGCUGGCGGCGUGCCUAACACAUGCAAGUCGAACGCGAAGGAGGUCUUCGGACCUCUGGAGAGUGGCGCACGGGUGAGUAACACGUGGGUAAUCUGCCUUUGGGUGGGGAAUAACGUUCGGAAACGGACGCUAAUACCGCAUAAUGCAGCGGCACCGCAAGGUGACAGUUGUUAAAGAUUUAUCGCUUAGAGAGGAGCUUGCGGCAGAUUAGCUAGUUGGUAAGGAAUGGCUUACCAAGGCUACGAUCUGUAACCGGUCUUAGAGGACGGUCGGUCACACUGACACUGAAUAACGGGUCAGACUCCUACGGGAGGCAGCAGUCGGGAAUUUUGGGCAAUGGGCGAAAGCCUGACCCAGCAACGCCGCGUGAAGAUGAAGUAUUUCGGUAUGUAAACUUACGAAAGAAUAGGAAGAAUCAAUGACGGUACUAUUUAUAAGGUCCGCUAACUACGUGCCAGCAGCCG